rnacentral:lncRNA from 1 species
GUAAUGAGGAACGGCUUUGGCUGAAGGAAGAUCUUGAGUCCAAAGCGCUUCUCUCAUUUAGCUUCUUCUAGAGCAGAGAGACUAGAAAACCAACACCUACAGGAGUCAAGAAAGUAGCAUCAUGGCAGGCAACCCUUCCCACCCCUACAGCUAUAAUAUUAAAAUCACUGUUUUAAAUAAUUCAGUUUCUAGGAGCAGCAGUCCCUUGGGAGAGACUGAAGAGAGGGAACAACCAGAGAGGAAGAGAGGCUGUUACACGCAGGGCAGCGGUUCAUCCCCUCCUCACCGAUCCUCCAUAAGCAAUGGAAUCGCAUCUUUUCCUUUUGCUUCCUCAACCGCCAGUGAUGACAGCGAUAUAGAUGACUCCCUGCUGGAUAGCCCUGGUGGGGGAAAUCCGGACUCCCCCACUGGCCUCUCCCGUGAAGAUGAGGAUAGACUCUUGUUUGAUAAUUUGGUGGAUGAUCUGGAGACAUCUUCAGAUGAAGUCCGACUGGGACUCGGUUUCCAGAGAGUGGAAAGUAGCGAGGGUUUUGCAUCUCUUAAAUUCAGACAGCUUCCCAAGGCUCUAAAGGGGGCUGUAAGCACAGAGCCAUCUCGUCCAACUGUCCGUUCUUUCCAUGAGGAGCGCUUUGGGCCUCCUGGGGGUGGGAGCGACCUGAGCAAGGAGGACUCCCAAGCUGGAUCUGGCUUGGGUUGUGGCAGACCUUUGCUUCCAGAUGCUGUGCGAGUUGCAGAUGCACUUUUGAAUCUGCAGAAAGAGGGUGAUUUAUCUGGGAGACGAGAGAAGGGAGCAGCUCAGACAGUGGAAGAGGAGAGUGGGCAAGAGGAAGGACCCUCCAAGAGUCAGGCUUCCGUAAACGAACUUUUGCUCAGGGGGAAAAGGACAAGCAGUGUCCUGCAGUCCACUGAAGGAGCGUCACAUUCUUCCAGCUCACAGUGCAAGGGAGCACCGUCCACGUCCAGUUCUGUUGGUGAUCAAAGAAAGAUUUGCAUAGAAAAUCCUCCUGCGCCAGAACCAAAGAGGCCUAGACGUGUCUACAUCGAAGAGAAAGACCUUGAGGAGCGGAAGGAGAAAUACAUCCGCGCUGUCCUUGCCCACGCUCGCAGCAGGCCAGUCAUAAGUGAAGUGAAUGAGCUGCAUGCACUGAUCCAAUGCGUUGCUUCUGAAAACCAGGAAUACAGACGCCAGCACACGACUGACCUGACUGAGAGGAACUACGUGUGGCGCAGCAACAGGACGAACCAGAAGUUCAGCCUUCCCGAAUGGGUCGAGAAAAACGGCCGGAAGGUCUGUCGGUUUGCGACAGUUCCUGAUCGUUUCCAGCGCUGCCCUGUCCCAAGCUAGAACAAACCUUCCAACUCAGUAGGGAAGCUCUGGCUUCACCCUGCACUUUGAACAUUGCUGACAGUUCAUUUUACUGAUCUAUUUUAUGUUAUAUUAUAUUGUGUUAUAUUAUUUUAUGUUAUUUUAUUUUAAAAUUUAAAGCCAAUUUACUGGUGUAUGUUUGUUUUUUCCCUUAUGCAAAUAUAUGUGCCCCUUUAGGCUUGAACUUCAUUGCAGCCCAAAUGUCCUUGGAAUUUCAAGCUUUAGUGGGUCUGUUUGGUUUUGCGCCAUGAUCUCUUUUAUAAACGUGUUGUGCCUUUUGAAUACCCUGUUAUGUUUUUCCCUUUCUUCCUUUCCUUAGUGGAAGGAGUUUGGCUGGUUUCUGUGUCCAAUUUAUUGACCUUUCUGACCCAUUUUUAAAAAGAAAUCUGCAGGUGACUUCAGAUAGCUAUGUUGGUGGAUGAAGCUGUAAUUGAUGAUUGGAGUGUGAGGAGCAGCUGCCCUAAUUCAGACAUUGCAGGCAGCAGUUUCAUGUCACUUCAAGCACAGAGCUUUGAAAUGGAGCUCACACUCCAUCCAGCUGCCAGAGGCAUCAGCCGCAGAGAGGCCAAGUGGAACAGCCUGGAAGAAUUAGAGGAAUCCUUCAGCCUCCCUUGGAGGAAUGCUGAUCCUGGCUGGGAAGCCAAUCAGACAGGAAAGUUAGUCUUGCCGAUAGGUUUCACCAACGUGUGGCUCCUUCCAGUGGCAGAUUGAUUGUGGGGUUGUGCUGCCCCCUUAAAGUAAGGUAGUGGUUUCUACCGAAUGCUGCUCCCCUCCCCAGGCCACGUGCCUGUUGCUACGAGGUAAGCAGGGCCACUGUCGCUGUCGACGGGUCUCCUGCGCUGAACGGUGUCAGGCCUACGUGGCUCUCUGUGUUUCUUCGGAAUGAGAAAGACAGCAGAAAAGCUGUUCUGCUCUACCAACAAGGAGGCAACGUGGACUCUUUAACAUCACCCCAGCAGGACUUCAGCCUGAAGGGAAUGCCUAACCCCUAGGUAAUAUUGUUAAAGCCUGAAUGGAAUGCCUAACCCCUAGGUAAUAUUGUUAAUUUGGCUCUGGUUGGUUCUACCUAGUGGGAUAACUGAGUUUUUCAACCCAAUUCCCAGGCGGAGGGGUCUGAGGUUAUUUUUUUUUCUUCCUGUUCCCCAGCCAAAUAGAAAAUUGUAGUUUCCAAAGAGAGGUGAUAUCCAGCCGGCAGCGAUCAGAGCUGUAGUUUGCAAACCGCACCUCCAGUGCGGCUGGGCCUUUUUCUAAUUGACCUCUAAGAAACGAGGCUGGCACAGCCAUCUGCCGUGAAUUUCUGGGACACUGAUUUUUCUGCACUCUUGGCAAGGCACUGGUGGACGGCUGAGGAAGUGGACUUUGUUCCACAAAAACUAGCAGACUGCAGGAUUUUCUUUAGUGGACUAAUAAAGGUGCCACCUACUCCCA